CCCCACAUGGUUUUGUUCAUUUUCCUCAGCUGACAUGCGCUGGCCUGAAAUGAUAACAACGCUCUGUCAUGAACAAAAUAUAAAUGUGCCUAUAGAUGAACUGACUUGGUCAGAGAAAUGUGCAUUGUUGAAACAAAACCCAGUUACAGCUGCAAGAAUGUUUGACCACAGAUGGCACAGUUUCUUAAAAGAUGUGAUUAUGUCUCCAGCUGCUCCUAUUGGUAAAAUAUCGGACUACUUUUACCGUGUAGAAUUUCAAAACAGAGGCUCCCCUCAUUGUCAUUGCUUAUUCUGGGUGGAAUCAGCCCCUCAAAUUGACAAAGACCCUGAUGAGAAAGUUGUAGACUUUAUUGACAAAUAUGUAUCUUGUGAACUGCCAUCAUCAGAUGAUGAUGAACUGUGUGAGAUUGUAAACACUGUGCAAAAACAUAGCACUAGGCACUCAAAAACCUGUAGGAAAAAAAACACUGAAUGUCGGUUUAACUUCCCACGACCCCCAUCUUGUCGAACAUUUAUUGAUCGUAUUGUCAAACCUUCACAAAAUCAAUGCAAUACAGAACAAUCACAUCAACCAAUGACUGAGGAAGAUGAAGUAAGAAAACUGAUGACACCAGACAUGGCUGAAAAGAUUUUGAAAAUGCUCAGAACAACUUUACUAAAUAGUGACCAAACAUUUGAAUCGACAGAGGAACUGUUUGAAAGCAUCGGCAUUUCACAAUUGCUUUUUGAAAUAGCAAAUUCACAACUAACCAAUAAAACCAGCGUUGUUUUAAAAAGAAAGCCCGGUGAUAUUUGGAUUAACCAAUUCAACAAAGACUUGUUAAGAUCUUGGAAUGCCAAUAUGGAUAUUCAGUACAUUGUGGAUGCAUAUUCUUGUGUAGUGUACAUUAUUUCUUAUAUAUCCAAAGCAGAGAGAGAAAUGGGAUUGUUACUCGAUUGUGCACAAAAAGAAGGACAUAAAGGCAAUCUGGAUGCCAAAGCUGCAUUCAAAUCACUUGGCAGUGUUUACCUUCAUAAUAGAGAGGUGUCUGCACAAGAAUCAGUAUAUAGACUGACUGGAAUGCAUUUAAAGGAAUGCUCACGGAAAGUAACUUUUAUACCGACAGGAGAACACCCUAUGCGCAUGAGUUUACCUCUCAGUGUAUUGCGAGACAGAAAACGAAAUGACAACAAUGAACAUAACACUAUAUGGAUGACAAGUGUGAUAGACAGGUAUAAACAUAGACCACAAUCACCACUGUUUCAAAACAUGUGCCUUGCCACGUUUUGCUCGGAAUAUCGAGUCUUGAGUCAAAGUGAAGUCCCAGCUAAUCCAAGCGAAUCUGUCGUUCAACUGCAGGAGAAUUCUGGCCACAUCAGAAAAAGAUCACGCACGAAACCAGCUGUUAUUAGAUAUGCAAAACUGUCACCCACAAAAGAUCCAGAAAAAUAUCAUCAAAGUCAGUUACAAUUGUUUUUGCCCCACUAUGAAGACUGUCAGUUGAAACCACAUCCUUUUGUAACAUACGAAGAUUUUUACAAUGUUGGUAUUGUACGUGACUUCAGUGAUGACAUACACAAAGUUAAAGAAAUUGUUCAGAAUAAUAGGUCCUUGUAUGAACAAAAUUCUGACGAACUAGAUGAUGCUCAACUCAUAAUGGAACAACAGGUUGACUUGGAUGAUGCAUGGGCACAAAUUUGCCCCCAGUCUGAAUUGGAACGCCUUCAAUGUUUACAAUCACAGGAGGUUAUGCACAAUGAAACUGAUUUACAACCCAUUUCAGAAAAUAUUCCAGACCUGACAGAAACUUUGCCUAUAACUGGUAACAUACAAGUUAGAAAAACAUUCAUGACUAAAGAAGCAGCAUGGAACAUAAUGAGAUCUUUAAAUGAUGAACAAGCGCGCAUAUUUUACAAACUACGUCAGUGGAGUUUAGAAACCGUAUGGGGAGAAAAACCACAACAAAUACACCUUUUUGUCACUGGUGGAGCGGGGACAGGAAAAAGCCAUU
ensembl:lncRNA